AGCUCAAUGGCAGAGCACUUGGCAUUGCAACCAAGCGGUUGGCGGUUCGAUUCCGCCC
rnacentral:tRNA from 1 species